CUCCCGGUCUCCACGCUCUCUGCCCUCCAUGUGAAAAAAGAAACCCGUCCUCGCCUCCCCCUCCCACACCGCGAAACCGCGAGGCCGCCGCCGCACCGAUCGCACGCGGCCAUCCUAGCAUGAAGAACCCCGACGGCGGCCAGUGUUCAACGAGCUGAGGGUCGAUCUCCUACCUAAAUCGAGACGGCGUCGUCUAGCUUCGUGCCGUUCGUAGGCGACGGACAUGUGGAUUUUGUUGUGCUGUCAUGGCGCCCUGCCCCAUUGACGUCCGCUGCCACGACUCAGCCCUACGGUGGCCAACCAUUCCUGCCCACCCCCGCACGCACACACGGGCAAUUGCCUCUCCCGUGCUCUUGCCGUACUUGGUGGCGGGCCCUGGUUGCGGAUCUGGUCGGCGCUCUGCCUCUCCAUCUCCAGCAGCUGUGGCUCCGCUCCACGGUCGGCCUUGCCGGUGCGUGGCCCACGUGGCGACGGCGCAUCACACCUUCCUCUCGCAGGCAGUGGUCGUUCAGCGCAGGCAUCCGCAUGGGGCAUAUCCAGCUGCCAGAAACAAGAAGCCCUGCGUGUUCGGUGCAACAGGCGACCGCACGACUUGGUGUCACCGGCCUCUCCGCAACUCCUCCUCGGCUCUCCGCGACUCUUGAGCUAGCUUUCCUGACUGCCUCCAUCUCCUGUUCCCCAUCCAACUUUAAUGCUCGAUUGCUCUGCUUUGACUUUGAUUUGGUUUCUUCAUUCAGAGGUAAUUCUGUACCUUUAUUUGUGUAUAAGAGAUUUCUCCCCUACUGAUUUGGUUUAUUGGAUCUAAGAUGGACUGGAUUUGGGAGUUCUGAACAGGAGAAACACAUAACCUUGCAUCUUAGGGUGUCCGUCGUGUUCUCCUUUUGCCUCCCCAAAUACCUCUGCCCACACAUCCAGAGACUUCGUACAUGAAGAAGCUUUAGAUCGCAGGGACCUCAUGGUCGGGUGAGUUCGCUUUGGUGUGAACGAUGAUAGAUGUCCGUGCUAUUGGAAGCAACAGCUCCAUCUGAAUCUUGGUCACGUGUUAUUGGAACCAGUCUCACAUCACGUCGCUAGAGACAAGGUGGAAGAUGAGAUGAGCUAGCUCCUUUUGUGAUCUACAAAUUUUCCGAUGAGUUUGCACAACCAUAACAAUUCAAGGCACUGUGUUCGUUGCAUCCGUAAUAAUUCAAGUGAUGGCUAGGCAACAGGAAGAAUAACCUAUGUCACAUUCAAAGACAUAUGCACUCAUAUGGAAGGAAUACAUUUUUUUGAUAAAGGUGGUCAAAACUCAUGUCGCAUAUAAUCCACAAGAUGAAGGCUACGUGCACUGCCCAUGGAGUGAUUGCAAGAAUUAGAGGUAAUUUUGCAACCACAAGAAGAUAUGAUCUCAAUUGAUAAUCACAGUUUCAAGACUGCAAGAUGUGGACUAAGCAUGGGGAUAGUGUGAGAAUGUAGUGGAUGACCAAGGCGAUGGUGAUGACAGCAUGCCUGAUUCUGUUGAGGAAACAAGUGUCAACUAGAAAGAGGUGGUUAACGAGGAAACAUGUGUCAAUAGAGAAGAUGUUGUUAACAAUGUUUUUAGAAAAUAGUUAGUUGAUACCAUGGAAGACGGCCUUUAUAAGAUGUUGCAUGAUGAGAAACCAAGAUUCUUUAGUCCAAAAUAUUUGAAAAGACCGUUGUACUCGAGUUGCAAACUAAGCAAAUUGGAAGUUGACCUCAUGCUAUUGGAACUGAAAUGUAUUCAUAU